rnacentral:rRNA from 1 species
CCUACGGGUGGCAGCAGUGAGGAAUAUUGGUCAAUGGACGCAAGUCUGAACCAGCCAUGCCGCGUGCAGGAUGACGGCUCUAUGAGUUGUAAACCGCUUUUGUACGAGGGUAAACCCCGAUACGUGUAUCGGGUUGAGAGUAUCUUACGAAUAAGGAUCGGCUAACUCCGUGCCAGCAGCCGCGGUAAUACGGAGGAUCCGAGCGUUAUCCGGCUGUAUUGGGUUUAAAGGGUGCGUAGGCGGUUUGAUAAGUUAGGGGUGAAAAGUCGGGGCUCAACCCCGAAACUGCCUCUAAUACUGUUGGACUAGAGAAGAGGUGAGGUAGGCGGAAUGUAUGGUGUAGCGGUGAAAUGCUUAGAGAUCAUACAGAACACCGAUUGCGAAGGCAGCUUGCCAAACUAUAUCUGACGUUGAGGCACGAAAGCGUGGGUAGCAAACAGGAUUAGAUACCCGAGUAGUC